UACAAGGCACAGCUCAGCAGCAGUGAGCUGAAGCUGGGAAGUGAGGGUGACCUUGCCUUUGAAGGAGCAGGUUUGCAUUUUAAGUUUUACAAGGUCAUAGGUUUCAGUGAAUAUUAACACGUGGAACUGUUGCCUGUGUCGACACUCCUGCUCCAUGAACCGUAGUUAAGAGUGUGGUCCCUGUAAGCUAUGGGUGGCAGAGUGCUAGAUGAUGAUUUUGUCCAGACUACAAGCCAAGUCUUCCCCAUUGGGUGCCUGGGAAAUUUCAGAUGAAGUUCUCUGCCAUUCUUUGUGGAUUGAUUGUCACACCUCUAUGUGUCUUUGCAUACUGGCCAAGCUUGCCUCAGUGCCCUUCAGUGUGGUGAACAUAUCCCAGCUUGUGGAGUGUGACAAUGUUGCGCUUUGAGAAUUACCUGUGGUUUCACUGAUGACACCAUCGUUGUUGACAGAAUCACAGACAGUGGCAAGGAGGCCAACAGGAGUGAGAUAGAUCAACUGGCAGAGUCGUUCUGCAAUAACAUCCUUGCACUUAACAUUAGCAAGGGAAUGAUUGUGAUCUUCAGGAAGGGGAGUCGGGUGAACAAGCACCAGUCUGCAUAGAAGGUGAUAGAAAGGGUGAGCAGCUUCAAGUUCCUGCUAUCAACAUCUCAAAGGAGCUAUAUUGAGCCCAGCACAUAAAUGCAACCAUGAAGAAGGCAUCUCUACUUUCUUCAAAGUUUAAAGAGAUUUGGCAUGUCUUUGAAGACUCUGAUAAAUUUCUAUGGUGGACAGCAUUUUGACUAGUUGCCUGAUGGUCUGGUAUGUAAAAUGCAUUGCACAGGAGCUCAGGAGGCUAUGGAUAGUGGUGGAAUCAGCCAGUUCCAUUGUGAGUAUAGCUCUCUUAGUGAUUGAGGACAUCUACAAGAGGCGAUGCCAUAAGAAGGCAAAAUCCAUCAUUAAGGGGCCCCCUCCUACUGGGCUAUACCUUCCUCUCAAUACUUCUAUCAGGUAGGAUGUAUAAGAACCUGAAGAUUUGGAUCUCAAGGUUUAACAACAAUUUCUUCACCACUGCCAUUAGUUUCUUAAACUGACCUGAAAAAUGCUAAUUCAACCUCAUAUUCCCACCUACUUGCACUAAUGUUAUUAAAUAUUUGCUUAUGGUAGUGUAUAUAUAAUUUAUGCUAAUUUAGAUUUAUGUAAUUUAUGUUUGUCAUGUUUGUAAUGUACAGUACUGUCACUGUAAAAAGCUAAUUUCCAUGGCGCAUGAGAAUAGUAUGCUCAAGAGUAAACUUGAAGUCAAAAUCCUCUAAUACCCGAUCACAAUCCAAGUGCAAAAUUGACAGCAUCAAUCUAGUUAGUAAUCAUUAAUCACCACUCCCAAUCACACUUCCAAUUAACCCCCCUCCCCUUGCACACCCACUGUUCCUAAAUCAUUCCCCCAUGCUCAAUGUACCCACAACCCAAGACACAGACUACUUAUUUUCUCAGAUUUUGUAAGAGAACUUCAAACUCUUUAAAUGUUUUAAAUCUGAGUGCACGUAGCAGCGUGAGCUUCAUAUGCAAAGAAACCAUACAGUAACUGUCUCUCAAAGAACCAUUUGUUGUCCUGGUAUAUACCAGAUGUUUAACAUGCCUUUGCAAGCACCAAUAAUUUUCCAAGCCAAUAUUAUUUAUUGAUGUUGGAGCAGAGAUAUUAGCUUUCAUAUUCCCCUCUUCAAAUAUUGUCACUGAAUUUUAUUCAUUUUCCUGAAUGCAUUAACAUUCAAUGUAAAGGACAGCAGCUUAGAAAUUUGUUCCCUACUUUUUAUUUGCAAUAAAAAAGACAAUGUCAUUGCUCUUAGAAUUCUUACAAAACUUGCAAACUUCAACUCAGGAGAGUCUUGUGGGGUUCCAUGCUGAUUCACUUUUGGCAUUUAUUUACCUGUUGCAAGAUCAUUCACCGAACUGCAUUUAGACUCAUAGUUGUGAGUUUGGUAGCUGCACAAAUCAUUUUUCAGCCACUAGGCAAUGGUGAUGUUUCAAGAAUAUAUGCUGUAAUGAUUGAUAUUUGGUUUACUGUCACAUGUACUGAAGUACAGAGGAAACCUUUUUAUUAAUGCCAUCUAUACAUAGUACAUACGAGAUGAUACAGAAGGAAGAAAAAAUAAACAGAAUGCAGAAUAUAAUGUUACAGUUAUAGAGAAAGCUCAGUGUGGGUAGAAAAAGUCUAGAUGGUGAGCGACCUGGAUGGGUGAUGAAGGUCAAAGCCAAAGAUUGGAGUCCAAAGGUCAAUUCAAACUCGAGAAGUCAAAGUGCAGCCUGGAGAUUGGAGGUGGGAGGCCUGUUCUCAAGUUGGAGAAAUGUCCUUGUGUGUGCGUAGAUGGGUGGUAGGGAGUAUGGGAGGGAAGAAAGGGGUGUGAUUUGCUGUUGUUGUUUCCUUCCUUGUUGUAUUUUGUUUUGCUGUGUUCUGCCAAGCAUGUGGGCAUGCAAUAUUGAUCUGGAAUGAGUGGUGACACUUAUGGGCUUCCUACAGCAAAUCCCUAAGUUCUGUAGAUUAUUAAUGCCAAAGAUGAAUUUUACUGUAUGUUUAAAUGUUUUUUUUUUCUUUUUAAGCCAUCUCGCCUACUGGAGCAUAGGCCACUGACCGCAGCUCAUCAGAGUCCUCUGUCCUGGUCUAGAACUUUCAGAUUCCUCAGGUGUAGCCCAUCUUCAACGUUCAUCCCUCUCCCAGGGAUGAGAUCUUUGGAGCUUCUGCUGGCUCUGCAUUCAUAGAGGGAUUAGGAUGGGAAGUUGCAGAAUAGAACUCAAAUGAGAACUGAGAAACAUCCCGGACAUCAGCCAGACAACACCUGUAUAUCGUUCUAUGAGGAGUCAAUAAAUUCCUGAACUAUGGGGAAUUCUACAAUAGUAGCAAAUUCCGGUUGUGCCCCAUUAUCUCCCUCCAUUGACAGAAAAACCAUUUUCAUUCCUAGAAUAUAGUACCUGAGUGUCCACCCUAAUAAAGCGACGAGCAGUGAACUGCAGGAUGUGCCAGAGAUCAGCAUCAUUCAGAUCUGAUCCUGAGGUCAGGAAAGUGUCACCUUGCCAUGCAAGGCCAAGAUAGUCAAUGCACAUGUGAGCAUGUACUUCAGAUCUCUGAUAUUAAAUGGAGAGAAGUCCAGCUCUGAUGUGUAUUUCUAUAAUCUCUAGGCAAGGUGUUAGAUGAUGCUUCCCUACUCUGGCUUCCGGCACCUGAUGAUCAUGACUGCCUAUAACAAUUCUAGUGUCUAUGACCUAUCUCCAUGUUAACCAAUAAAAUAAUUCAGAUAAAACUCAAUGGUUUAAAGUGCAGAAAAGUAAUUGAAGAUAUAAGGAAGGUGCUAUAUGAAGUGUGAAAUUUAUGUAGAACACACACAGUGCCCCUUUUGAGUGUUGUUGAGUGCAAAAAACACACAGGUUGAAUUUUGUCCCUUGUAGUUCAGGGGAAAGGCUAUUGGUAAAAUCUUAUCAACACAAACAAAAUACUGGAGGAACUCAGCAGGCCUGGCAGCAUUUAUGGAAAAGAGUCAACCUUAAAAUCUUGUUCAACUAGCAAAUUAGAUCUAUGGUUGUUUGGACAGGUGAGGUGGAAUAUCAUUUUUGAGGUGACUAUCAGGAUUGCUUCGUUGGUGACAUCAUAUGGAAGAGUCUUAUGUUACUAUUGUAGGAUUCCCCAAAAUUUGGGAAUUUGAGUUCUAUCAUCCAACUGUUCUUCCUGAUCCCUCUGAGUCCUUGGGAACAAAUAAUUCAGAUUCAGAUUUGCAUUGCUUUAUCAUACCUCAAUCAAAACAUGGAGUAAAUUGCAUUGUUGUAUUUCAGCUUAGUGCCCUCCUUGAGGUAAGAGGCUCAGAACUGAGAACUAUUUUGCCUUACUCCAGAAUAAGUCUACUUUCAACUGCACAGAACUGUUUAGCAUUGUGAGAAAGAAUUUUUAGGGCAGCAUCUUUAAUGGCAUAUGACUCAUGAUUACAUUGAAAUGUUAGUCCUGAUUUUAUGCAGAAAUCUCUGGUUGGGUAUGAAGCCAUGAUUUGUGAUUCACAACUGUCACCUAAAGCAGGCACAAAUGAAGUCAAAAGCUUUGGUGUUCAGAACAUGAAGCUUCAUGAACUUUAACAGCAAGUACAUUGAAAGAUCAACAUAUUUUUGCAAAGUUAAAGUGUACAUUAGUCACUCCUACUGAGGUACAUUCUAUACAUAGCAACAUACAAGAUGCUGGAGGAACUCAGGGGUUCAGGCAGCACCUAAGGAGCAAAUUGAACAGUUAUCACUUUGCAUAUAUCUUUACUCUUGUUUCUACAUUUUAUGCAUGCUCUCCAUCACCAGCAAAGCAGAUGCAAUAAACAGAUCCUAAAAAUCCCAGUCUGAGCAGAUCCUCAGGCGCCUAGAAUAAUUUCAUAGGCAAUUUUUAAAGUGGCCUGUCACUGAGAGUAGAGUUGAGGUAGGGGAAAAUUUGUGGCAAUUAUUUUUACCUUACAUCCAAUCCAUGUUUCAAUUGAUCAGUACUAGGUCUUUAAAUUAUCCUGAUUUUCCAAUCGACUAUAUGAUCAGCACACAAAUGGAAAAAUUCAAUAAAUAAAACCAAUAUUGUCCAUCUUAUUUCUUCCCAUGCAAAGCUUUCAAAAUUUUCACACAAGUAUGAUGAUCAAUUUAUCUCUCUUUUAAGAGGUACGUGUAAUAUGAAAACAUAGAAAGCCUACAGCAAAAUACAGGCCCUUCAGCCCAUGAUGCUGUGCUGAACAUGUCCUUUCUUUAGAAAUGACCCAGGGCUACCCAUAGUCCUCUCUUUUUCUCAGCUCCAUGUACCUAUCCAGGAGACUCUUGAAAGACCCCAUCGUAUGUGCCUCCCCCACCAUCGCCGGCAGACCAUUUCACGCACUCAGCACUCUCUGCGUAAAAAAAUUACCCCUGACAUCUCCUCUCUACCUGCUUCCAAGCACCUUAAAACUGUGCCCUCUCAUGUCAGCUGUUUCAACCCUGGGAAAAAGCCUCUGACUAUCCACAGGAUCAAAGCCUCUCAUUAUCUUAUACACUUCUAUCAGGUCACCUCUCAUCCUCCAUCACUUCAAGGAGAAAAGGACAAAUUCACUCAACCUAUUCUCACAGGGCAUGCUCCCCAAUUCAGGCAACAUCCUUGUAAAUCUCCUCUGCACCCUUUCUAUAGUUUCCACUUCCUUCCUGUAUAGUGAAGUGACCAGAUCUCAGCACAGUACUCCAAGUGGGGUCUGACCAGGGUCCCAUAUAGCUGUAACAUUAUGUCUCAGCUCUUAAAUACAAUCCCACAGCUGAUGAAGGCCAAUGCACCAUAUGCCUUCUUAACCACACAGUUAAGCCGCGCAGCAGAUUUGAGUGUCCUAUAGACUUGGACCCUAAGAUCCCUCUGAUCUUCCACACUGCGAAGAGUCCUAACUUUAAUACCAUACUUUGCGAUCAUACUUGACCUAUUAAAAUGAACCACUCACACUUAUCUGGGUUGAACUCCAUCUGCCACUUCUCAGCUCAGUUUUGCACCCUAUCGAUGUCCCACUGUAGCCUCUGACAGCCCUCCACAAUAUCCACAACACCUCCAACCUUUGUGUCAUCAGCAAAUUUACUAACUAAUCCCUUCACUUCCUCAUCCAGGUCAUUUAUAAAGAGCACGAAGAGAAGGGAACCCAGAACAGAUCCCUGAUUGUGGUAGUGGGAGAUUUUAAUCUCCCAAAUAUUGAUUGAUAGCUCCCUAGAACAAGAGAUUUAGAUGGGGUGGAAUUUGUUAGGUGUGUUCAGGAAAGUUUCCUGACACAGUAUGUAGAUAAGCCUACAAGAGGAGAGGCUGUACUUGAUCUGGGAUUGGGAAAUGAACCUGGUCAGGUGUCAGAUCUCUCAGUGGGAGAGCAUUUUGGAGAUAGUGAUCAUAAUUCUAUUUCCUUUACCAUAGCAUUGGAGAGGGAUAAGAACAGACAAGUUAGGAAAGUGUUUAAUUGGAGUAAGGGGAAAUAUGAAGAUAUCAGGCAGGAACUUGGAAGCAUAAACUGGGAACAGAUGUUCUCAGGGAAAUGUAUGGCAGAAAUGUGGCAAAUGUUCAGGGGAUACUUGUGUGACAUUCUGCAUGAGUACUUUACAAUGAGGCAGACAAAGAGUGGUAGUGUACAGGAACCAUGGUGUACAAAGGCUGUUGAAAAUCUAGUCAAGAAGAAAAGAAAAGCUUACAAAAGUUUCAAAAAAUUUAGGUAAAUAUUAGAGAUCUAGAAGAUUAUAAGACUAACAGGAAGGAGCAUAAGGAUGAAAUUAGGAGAGCCAGAACGGGCCAUGAGAACACGUUGAUGAACAGGAUUAAGGAAAACCCCAAGGCAUUCUACAAGUAUGUGUUGAGCAAAUGAAUAAGAUAUGACAGAAUAGGACCAAUCAAAUGUGACAGUAGAAAAGUGUGUAUGGAACCAGAGGAGAUAGCAGAGGUACUUAAUAAAUAUUUUGCUUCAGUAUUCACCACGGAAAAGGACCUUGGCAAUUGUAGGGAUGAAUUACAGAGGACUAAAGUGCUUGAGCAUAUGGACAUUAAGAAAGAGGAUGGGUUGGAGCCUUUGGAAAGCAUCAAGUUGGAUAAGUCACCAGGACCGGAUGAGAUGUGCCUCAGGAACACUGUGGGAGGCAAGGGAGGAGAUUGCUGAUCUUCUGGUGAUGAUCUUUGCAUUAUCAAUGGGAACAGGAGAGUUUCCAAAGGAUUGGAGGGUUGCAGAUGUUGUUCCUUAUUCAAGACAGGGAGUAGAGAUAGCCAAGGAAAUUAUAGAACUGUGAUUUUUACUUCAGUGGUUGGUAAGUUGAUGGAGAUGAUCCUGAGAGGCAGAAUUUAUGAACAUUUGGAGAAGUAUAAUAUGAUUAGGAAUAGUCAGCAUGGCUUUGUGAAAGGCAGGUCAUGCCUUACAAGCCUGAUUUAAUUUUUUGAGGAUGAGACUAAACACAUUGAUGAAGGUAGAGCAGUAGAUGUUGUGCAUAUGGAUUUCAGCAAGGCAUUUGAUAACGUACCCCAUUCAAGGCUUAUUGAGAAAGUAAGGAGGCAUGGGAUCCAAAGGGACCUUGCUUUGUGGAUGAAAAAUUGGUUAGUCCACAGAAGGCAAAAAGUGGUUGUAGAUGGGUCGUAUUCUGCAUGGAUGUCGAAGACCAGUGGUGUGCCUCAGGGAUUUGUUCUGGGACCCCUAUUCUUUGUGAUUUUUAUAAAUGACCUGGAUAAAGAAAUAGAGGGAUUGGUUAGUAAAAUUGUCAGAGAAAUGUGUACAAUAUACAUCCUGAAAUUCUUUUUCUUCGCAAUCAUCCACGGAAACAGAGGAGUGCCCCAAGGAAUAAAUGACAGUUGAAUAUUAGAACCCCCAAGGCCUCCCAGCUCCCCCACCCAUGCACAAGCAGCAGCAAGGCAAUGAUCCCCCCCCAUCCCACCAGCAAAAAAGCAUGGGUGCCCCCCACCAAGCACUCAAACACGCAGCAAAGCAUCAAUAAAGACACAGACUGGCAGUACCCCAGAUACUACUCGUUCACCCGGUAUUCAACGUACCACAGGCUCUCUCUCUUUCUCUCUCUCUCUCUCUCUCUCUCUCUCUCUCUCUCUCUCUCCCUCCCUCCCUCCCUCUCCCUCUCCCUCUCCCUCUCCCUCGCUCUCUCUCCCCCUAAUAAGGGAAUCUAAUCUUAGAUGGAAGAAAAUAGAUAAUGAAAGGCAUUUGAAGUAUCUUCAAAGCUUUUGUUUCUCUGAUUUGUUGAAAGACCCAAACCUCCAAUUUUAAACAGGUUAUUAAAACAGAUAUUGUAAAACAACUGUUAGCUGUUAAAUGGUAUCACUCAGGUGUUUUAAAUGCUUAGAGAUUGUACAAUGAAGGGGAAAACUAAAAGAAGGUGUCAGCAAAAAUUUAACUGUUUAUAUCUUGGGUUAUGAAACAAAAGCUUUUAUAUAUACAAUUAUGCUAUGACAGCUAUGAAAUAAUGGAAGGCUUGUAUUCAGAAAGUGUCUUUCUCAUUCCUAAAGAAGUCACAAUUUACUUAUUAACCCUAAUUACAAAUGAAGUACAAUAAUUCUUUUGAAGGCAAAUAUGGAUGUUAGUUUUUACAUCCAACGUCUACAGAGAGCUGUAAGUAAUGAUAAGGUAGUUUGCAACGUGAAUGUUGGAGGACAUGGUGAGAACAUCCCACACUCUUGUUAAAAGUGACCGCAAACUCUUUAAUAUUUGCUCCAACUGAACUUAAUUGAGCACUGGAUCGACAAGCAUAUCAUCUUAAUAUCAUAACAUAUUCUCAAAAUGCUCAUUCUCACAAGACAGUCAAGCACAGAGUAUUUUACCUUCUAAAGGGGAACCUUAUCAUUAGACCAGUCUGAUGGUUGCUAGUCAACCACCACCUUCCAGUAAUAUGACAACAUAGUCAAUCACAGUGAUCCCUCUGGGUCCAAAUGAAGGUGAAAUUGCUCAUCUUUUACCUCCUUUCAACUCUGGAUAUUAAGAAUAUCUCUCUCUUCUUCGGUCAUUCAUCGAAAUCCAAUAACAACGUCCACUUCUUUAACAGUGAGAUCUUUGAUGACUAUACAGUCCUAUCCUGGACCCACAAGUUCUGUUGCAGGUGGAACACGCAUAUGUGGUAGUGGUGGUAGUGAUGGCAACAAUGGCUGCAUUUCUCCUGGCUCUCUUCUUCUGUCUUCUGGUUGUUCUUUCCAUCUCCAGAAAUCAAACCCUGUCCUGACAGAGCUGUCGCCAAGUGAUACGGUCAGCAGCAACCCCCUCCAGUUCCUCGGGUCUGAUCUCGCACUUCCUUAAAGCAUUCUUCAUCUGAUCCUUAUAGCGUUUCUUCUGCCCUCCAGCUGAGGGUUGACCAUGAUGUAGCUGGCCAUUUAAGAUUCUGCGGGGUAGCCGACAUGGGGGCAUCCUCAAGAGUAUCAAGUACUGCAGGUUUACCCCACUAGUGAGUGGUUCGAUAACAGUGGAACUGGACGUUGUGUACCAUGUUACUGUCUACUACUCUGCAUCAGAGAUGGUGCACAGUCCACCUAGUGGUGCAGAUGACUGUCUUGGGCAUUUUUCUUGUGAUUACAGGACCCUGGUGAACAUUGAUAAUGUGAAAUACUGCAAGUCCGAUUCACUGGUUCGUUGGCAUGACCAAUGGCCAGGAAGAUGAGUAGACUCAGUCGCAAUGUGGACCAGUCCCUCAUGCUGAGGCUUUGCCUCUUGCAACUACUCGGGGGGCAGAGUGGGGAGAUGCUGAAGGCAAUGUGAGACAGAACAGAGGGACUGGAGUCCCUGCAGUGUUGGCGACUGGCCUCUGAGAUGAGUUAAUAAAUUCAAACUUUCUGCAUAAUCACUCAAAGAAUUUAACUGCAUGUGCAUGUAAGGAGAGCUGUAUAAUUCAUCUCCUUCUACCUUAGGCCAUGAACCUAUCAAUCACCCCUGCUGUAGACCACUUCUGGAGGUCCAAGAUGUCAACUUCUACAAAGAAGAGAUCUGUAUGCUCCAUGACCGCUGGACUAAAUGUGUAAAUGUAGGAGGGGACUAUGUUGAAAAAUAAAUGUGCUAGGUUUUCUAAAAUUGACUCCUUCUACCUUAGGCCAUGAACUUAUCAAUUACCCCUCGUAUAUAUAUUUUUAGUGACUGCAUGUGCUUCUACUGUUGUAAUUGUAUGUGCUUUAUGUGCUUUGUGCUGUGUGUGACAGUUGGUACUGUGUUUUGCACUUUGACCCCAGAGGAACACUGUUUCCUUUGGCUGUAUUCAUAAAUAUGACUGAAUGACAAUUAAACUUAACUUGAGUUGUCGGAUGCUGAUGGUUUUGCAACCUAGAGGUUCAGAAGUCAAAAAUGAAACAUAAAACUUAUUGUGUACAUCCUUUUUAUUAAGUGUUAUAAGAACAAGGAAUGAAAAAAGAAAAGCGGAGAACAUAGAUGUUGUAUUCAUCUCAAAACCUAACUCAGACUGAAAAGAUAACGCCCCAGUGAUUAAAAAAAAUCUAUUAAAUAAGCAGCCUCAAGUGUCCUGACACCUGCUGCAGAAAAACUGAGAACCUUCUAGAAAAGUACAGAAGAAGCUAUGGUACAAUUACUGAACUAUUCACUGUCUAUUUACUGGGAAAACACAGCAGAAGCCCAGAUGCAAGUUAGUGUCAUGAAUGCCCAUGAUUUCUAUGUGGGUGGGUGCUAGUCAUUUGUUCCUGAAGAAGAUAAUGUUUGUUGGAAAGAGUUAGAUUCAAUGACUGUAUUGAAGACUUUUAUGGCCAAAGAAAGAAGGCUAAAGUCUCCCUCAUAUUUCACAGACCAUCUGGGGUCAACAAUCUGCUACUCUUCUCAGUUCUCUGUUUUCUGCUUCUCUUUUCGGAGAGCAAGGAUUAAUUCCUGUGCUUAUGGUGUGUUGUAUUUUUAACUGAUUUGUACUGAACAUUCUGCUUCUGUUGCCCUGACCUGAUAUCCUGGGGUGUAAUAAAUGGAGAACAAGA